rnacentral:rRNA from 1 species
GGCAUAAGCCAGCUUAACUGCGAGACCCACAAGUCGAGCAGAUGCGAAAGCAGGUCCUAGUGAUCCGGUGGUUCUGUAUGGAAGGGCCAUCGCUCAACGGAUAAAAGGUACUCUGGGGAUAACAGGCUGAUUCCGCCCAAGAGUUCACAUCGACGGCGGAGUUUGGCACCUCGAUGUCGGCUCAUCUCAUCCUGGGGCUGUAGCCGGUCCCAAGGGUAUGGCUGUUCGCCAUUUAAAGAGGUACGUGAGCUGGGUUCAAAACGUCGUGAGACAGUUUGGUCCCUAUCUGCCGUGGGCGCUGGAGAUUUGACGGGGGCUGCUCCUAGUACGAGAGGACCGGAGUGGACGCACCUCUGGUGUACCGGUUAUCACGCCAGUGGUAUCGCCGGUAGCUAAGUGCGGAAGAGAUAAACGCUGAAAGCAUCUAAGCGUGAAACUCGCCUGAAGAUGAGAUCUCCCGGAGGCUUGACCUCC